UGUAAAUCUGAGGCAUCAAGUCUUAGAAUUGUAAUCUAUAGGCCUUUUAGGGAAGCCACGGUCCUAGCAUAAGUUCCUUGAAAAGGGAUGCCAAAGAGGGUAAAAGCCCCGUAUUUGGUUAGGACUGGGUGUACCGAAGGGUUCCAAGAGUCGGGUUGUUUGGGAUUGCAGCCUAAAAUGGGAGAUAAACUUCUUCUAAAGCUAAAUAUUUAUGGGAAACCGAUAGCAAACAAGUACUACGAAGGAAAGAUGAAAAGAACUUUGAAAAGAGGGUUAAAAGACUUGAAAUCGUUGAGGAGAAAAGCGGUAGAAGAGAAAUGAUUUCAUUUAGAAGUAUGUAGUUAUGUAGGUGUCUUCUGCGGUAAUGGUACUUCAUAGGGCCUAGCUGUAGACCGGCGUCGCAUUGCUGCUUUUUCUGGAUGAAUGCAAAAUGAGGUCUCGCUUGCGGAAACGUCUCUAGGGAAGACUCUGGCCUUGACGCUGGAAGCCCUGGUCUCCAACGCAAGCCUGGCCUGAGGGCUGCAUCUGCAGAUUUUGCAAAAAAGGCUUCUACUGACCCGUCUUGAAACACGGACCAAGGAGUCUACCACAAGUGCGAGUUUUAGGGUGGAAAAACCCGACGGCGCAACGAAAGUGAGUAUAAGGUGCGAAUCCGUAAGGAGGCAGCAUCGGCCAACCUUGAUUUUCGAAUGAAAGGAUU
rnacentral:rRNA from 1 species